UUGUCCCUGACAUCUCCACAUUCUUCUUCAACUGCUCAAGCGGAUCUGAUCACUACUAAAACCCAUCAACACAGGAGAGGAACCAACUUUAGAAAGAGAAGGUACCUAAAAGGAAGAAGAGAGCUACAAAGUCACACAUACCAUUAUGGACAGACAUUGUAGUCUUGUUUCCCGCAGAAGACUAUGCUUUCACACUUUGUGGACAAAUCUCUCAAUAUUUCAUGCAUAUGUGUUAUCUACCUGUCAAUAUGCCAACAUAAUGAGAUGUCAUAUGUCAUAUAACUAUAUAAACAAUGUGGCAAGGGUAUUAGUCUUUUAUUAUUAGGAGGAACAGAUUAAAUACAAUAUUUUAUAGUUCUAAGCACGCUUGAUCUAUCAGAGUGCAUACCUGGCUGUAAGUAAACAUCAAUGAAUUUGACAUCCACGGAUUUGAAUGUUCUCUUGCUUUCUUUCCGAACAUUCUGUAAGAAUGUUCACAAGGCCGAUGAAAAAAUAUGCCCUACACCAUCACAACACAGAGUAACAUUACAUCAAUUUUAGGCACAAAACAAAACUUCAUCGGAAAUAUGAGAGGCAACCAAUAAACAAGGAAA
rnacentral:lncRNA from 1 species